rnacentral:rRNA from 1 species
UAGAUGGCGACCGGCGCACGGGUGAGUAACACGUAUCCAACCUGCCGAUAACUCGGGGAUAGCCUUUCGAAAGAAAGAUUAAUACCCGAUGGCAUAAUUAGACCGCAUGGUCUUAUUAUUAAAGAAUUUCGGUUAUCGAUGGGGAUGCGUUCCAUUAGGCAGUUGGUGAGGUAACGGCUCACCAAACCUUCGAUGGAUAGGGGUUCUGAGAGGAAGGUCCCCCACAUUGGAACUGAGACACGGUCCAA